rnacentral:lncRNA from 1 species
ACGUUAUUUUACUUUUCCGUGAAUCAAAGGCAGGGCGCAACCCCUGUUGUUGGACCCAAGGUCGGCCUCGGUCGAUCGAUCCAAGCAUAAGACAUUGUCAGGUGGGGAGUUUGGUUGGGGUCGCACAUCUGUUAAAACAUAACGCAUUUGUCCUAAGAUGAGCUCAACUUCAAUAGAAAUUUCGUGUGGAACAAAAGGGUAAAAGCUCAUUUGAUUCUGAUUUCUAGUACAAAUACGAAUCGUGAAAGCGUGGCCUAUCGAUCCUUUAGUCCUUUAGAAUUUGAAGCUAGUGGUGUCAGAAAAGUCACCACAAGGUUAACUGGCAUGUGGUAGCCAAGCGUUCAUAGGAUGUUGCUUUUUUAUCCUUCGAUGUCGGCUCUUCCUAUCAUUGUGAAGCAGAAUUCACCAAGUGUUUGAUUGUUCACCCACCAAUAGGGAACGUGAGCUAGGUUUAGACCAUCGUGACACAUGUUAGUUUUACACUACUGAUGACAGUGUUGCAAUAGUAACUCAACCUAGUACGAGAGGAACUGUUGAUUCGCACACUUUGCGAUCGCGCUUGGUUGAAAAGUCAGUGGCGCGAAGCUGCCGCGCGUUGGAUUAUGACUGAGUGCCUCUAAGUGAGAAUCCAAGCUAGAAGCAAUGUGUGUGCCCGCCGCCAAAGGCACGUGCCGUUGGUGACCCCCAUGGGGUGGACGAGCCUCACGGGAUGCUUUGAAGCGAUAUUCCCUACUGGGUGGCGGGUAGAAUCCUUUGAAGACGACUUAAAUAUACGACAGGGUAUUGUAAGUGGCAGAGUGGCCUUGCUGCCACGAUCCACUUAGAUCCAACCCUUAUCACUUCGAUUUGUCCCUCCCAUCUCAAGCCUUUUUCCGAGCUAGGUCAUAAACCCUACGAGGGUUACGAACCCUCACCUCGUAUGGGCGACGAGGUGAGUAGGUGUAAAGUCUGUGUUCCAUAAGCACACGGUAGAGACAAAGUCACUUACAAUGUGAUGUGUGGCAUCGCCUCUCGCCAUGCCCCUAGGUGCCUUGUGUGUGGUUCAUGGUGUCUAGUGCCUUAUGUAAAGCUCGACGCUUAGAAAAAUUAUGAAAAAUUAUCGGCUUGGAUAAAAAUCGUGAAGCUUCAUGGACCACUAGCUCCCAUUCUUAUAAGCACGUGUGCAAAUAAUAAGGGCAAAAUUCGAACUCUAACCUAAAAAACCCAGUAUGUCUUCCCAUAAAAAAGGAUGCCUAGUGGUGCAGAGUGGGAUUUUGCAUAUUAGCCUACUGUAGGGGGGCAAGCUGCCUACCUGCCCAUGCGCCUUGGUCGGUCAGGAUGGCGCACCAUGGGGCUCCCCUUGAAUGCCCCAGCAAGCUUUCCCAGGCAUGUUGGUGCAUUUUUCCAUGGUGUUGUGGGCAAUUCGACCGAGUCAUCUUCCAUGGCGAAUCUUGUUUGCAUGCGGCUAGGUGCAGGCUGGUGCUUUGGCUUGGUGUUGAUCGGCACCUAGGACUUAUCGGGGAUGCAUCAAGGGCUUGGACUGUUCCUUGCGGACAAACUCGGAUUUCUUGAUGUGUAAGUCCCUCUUGUGGAGGUGCCUGCUUCGUCACACAGUGCCGAGUUGGGUAGUUGCGAGCAUCGCUUGGACGUACUGAGGCUUCUAGUUUUUCACGUUCUGCACGGAAGGAUGUGGUGUUAGGUGAUGCCUUUAGUAGCACAUCCGGAGCACAAAGGGGCGCAAGUCCAAUCAUCCGAAAGUAUGUUGUGGGGGGGUUGUCAUGGUUUUUGUCAUGGUGCAACCAUUUAUGUAUCAUGCACUAAAGUGUCUCAUGUAGGCUUGUCCUACGGAAAAGUGUAUGGUUUUGAGGUGCUAGUUUGAUCACACGGUGCUGGUUGGGUUGUUGCGGGCUUCGGUCCGACUUGCUGAGGCUUCUAGUGUGUCUCGUUGUGCACGGAAGGAUGUGGUGUGUGGUGAAGCCCUUAGGGCAGAUCCAAAGCACGAAGGGGCGCAAGUCCAAUCAUCUCGAAGUGUGUUGUCGACGGGUUUGCACUAUUGAGGUCAAGGUGCGGUCGUGUUUGACUCGAGCAAAGAACGUGGCUUGUGUAGGCUCGUCCCUCGAGAAAGCAUGCUCCGUUGAUGUGCUAGUUUGGUCGCACAAUGCGAACAUUCCGAGGCUUCUAGUGUGACCUGUUCUGCACGGAAGGAUAUCGUGUUGGGUGAAGCCUUAAAGGGCACAGCUGCAACACGAAGGGGCAUAAGUCCAAUCGUUCGGAAGUGCGUUGUGGUCGGGUUUGCAUGUUUUGAAGUCCCGGUGGGGUCGUGUGUGACCCAAGCUAAAACGUGCGGUGUCUAGGCUCGUGCCUCGCUAAACUGUGGUUUGGUGAUGAUUUGGAUCGGUGACACGGUGGUGAGGUAUGUACACGGGGGCAUCAUGUGGACGUGCACAGGCUUCUCGUGUGACCCGUGGUGCACCGGAGGAUUAGGUGAUGCCUUCACGGAAGUACUUGAGUGGCCCACCACUAAGAAGCAGCAGGGGCUUUUGCCCCACAAUGUCUCGUUCGGUUAGUGAUCUUCCCUGGUAGGGAGAUUUAUGCGGAUGCCUUGCAGCACCAUUCUCUACUUGGCGCUCCCAGAGUCUUUUCAGUGACUUAAAUAGCAGGGCACUUCGGAAAAGGCAGAGUGGACUUGCUAUUACAAUCCACUUUGAUUUUUCUCCUGUCGAUUGAAAGUGUAAAGUGUCAAGAUAACACUUAGUUUUCCUAUGUUUUGAUGAAGACAAAGGAAUUAGUGAAAGCUUAAAGAUAACUCAACAAAUCAACAUGCCAAAGAUUCAAGAGCUUCAUGUCUAAACUAGAGUCUUAGAUAUGUGUCUUAGUUAUUGAGUCUAGGUUAGGUAAACCUAGAUGCAAAUCUCACAAGUUCUAAAAACUAUCAUAUCAUUUACAUGAGACAUGCCAUCUAGCUUAUUAUAUGUUCAUGCAUUAAUCAUACAUGUUAUUUGUGCAUCUUAGGCAUAAAAUAAUGAUAAAACAUGUAUAGUUGAUAAGCAUUACAUAUAGGUAGUUUACCAUUUAAUAUCUUAACUGAAAAUAUGUUAGUUAAUCGAUUAAGUAAGGCUUUAAUCGAUUAAUGUGAAAAUAGUUUAAAUCAGUUUCAACAUAUAACUGAAAAACAGAAUUCAGUUAUUCUAAACAGCCCGUUAAUCAAUUAACAGGGCACUUAAUCGAUUAACUAGGUACAAAAUAGCUUUUCUAUAUAAACUAUGUUUUUACACCCUGCUUCAUUAAUUCAUUUUUAGAAUUUCUAAGUAGAAUAUUUUCGUGUUCUUUGUAUGUCAUAUAGGCAGAGGUAAUUGCAUGUGAGAUUAGUGAGAGAUAUUAUCAUGCUUAGGGAUUAAAAUGUCAUCCAUUGCAUGUGAUUAAAUGUGUUCAUCAUUUUAUAUUUCUUGCAUGAUUCUUUCAAUUCUUUUAAAGAUUUCUUAGGAUAGAAAUUACAUGUACUUCAUGAUUCUGAUCUUGUACAUAUUCAUAAUAAUUUGUGAGAUUUGUAUAGGGUUUAUAGCUUGUUCUGAAUUGUAAUAUUUGAACUAUUUUGUGUUUAACAUUACUCUGAUUUUGUUGUGAUUUUUUUUAUAACAAGGAAAGUCGUCUCUUGAUAUCAUACUACCGACGAGAUACAGAGAGUCUUCACCAAGACCUGGAGGUCUUGAGUUUGGAACAUACUCUUGGUUGGGGCUGGAUCGUAGGAAAGGUUUUCCUAGGUGAUUGGGUAAGGUCAAACCAAGGUAGAGGUUCUGGGAAUUCAAGAAGAUAGCGUUCAAGGUCUUGUAAUUGGAAGUGUGUAUAUAAGAUACAUUGGCUUCAAUUUUUAGUGAAGAAAAUCUCCUAGAUCAGAAGGGAGGACUAGAUGUAUUUUUGCACUGGACCGCAAAACAAACCAGUAUAAAAACCUUGUUGCGGACUGUUUCUUUCCCUUAUCUAUUUACUGUUUUAAGUAGCUUUUAAUUACCUAUUGUAGCUGAUAUUUUGAAUAUAGUAUUACUGCCAAAUAAAGAUCAUUUAUGUUCAAAUAUAUAUGAUAUAUCAUUUCUGUAUAAUUUGUAAUUGGCUAUGUAAUUGAGCCAUUCAGCAACUGCUAAUUCUGCGCGACUUAAUCGAUUAAGUCAUAGCUUUAAUCAAUUAACUAGGUGAUUUACCAGAAUAGGGCUUUUGAUUUGCGAAAAGCGGUAAUUCUAACCGCGACACCUAUUCAACCCCCCCUUCUAGGUGUAUUGUAACGACUGAUACCUAACAAGUGGUAUCAGAGCUAGGACGUCGUGCUAGCUCCACCGUAUCCGCGUGAUCUAUUAGGGAAAUUAAAUGGGUUCCACCAACCCUUUUGGCGGUGAUGGUGCAUCCAUUAACUGCCCUCCCAUAUUCAAUGGCAAAGGAUAUGCCUACUGGAAAGUUCGGAUGAAAAUCUUUAUAGUGGCGAUCGACUCGGAUAUUUGGGAAUCCAUAGUCAAUGUGCCCUUCGUUCCACAACACUUAGUAGACGAUGAACCUAAAGAUAAACCGAAAAGUCUAUGGACCGAUGAUAAACGCAAAAAGGUUCAAUACAACCUGCGUUCCAAGAACAUCAUCACAUCAGCCCUAUCCUAUGAUGAGUCCUUUCGGGUUUUGCAGUUGCAAAAUUGCAAAGAAAUGUGGGACACUUUACAAGUGACUCACGAAGGCACUAGCGAAGUCAAGCGUGUCAGGCUGAAUGCCCUGACACGUGAAUAUGAGUUGUUUUGUAUGUUACCAAAUGAAUAUAUCGUCGACACGCAAAAACGAUUCACUCAUAUAGUUAACCGUUUAGUUGCUUUGGAUAAACUGUUUAACAAAGGAGAGCUUACUAACAAAGGUUUACACUGUCUUGACAUGAUAUGGCAACGAAAAGUAACAGCUAUCCUGGAAUCUAAAGAUCUUGACUCCAUGCCUUUAGCGACAUUGUUUGGAAAACUUCAAGAGCAUGAAAUGGAGCUUCGACUCCUAACUAUGCACGAAGAAUCAAAUCGCAAAAAGAAAAUUAUAUCUCUCAAGGCAACAACGUCUCAAUCUACAAAAGAGAGAGAAGAAGACAAGUCUGAUUCAGAUGUGGAUGAAGAAACUUUGAGCCUUCUCGUAUGCAAAUUCGGGAAAUUCCUAAAGAAAGGAGGCUUCAAAUGUUUCCAGAAGAAAGAAGGACGCGAGUCGACCAAGAAAGGCAAGAGUAAAGAACGCUUCACUUGCCAUGAAUGUGGUAAGCCAUGACAUAUGAGUUUUCAAUGUCCCACUUAUCUCAAGAAGGUUGAUUCAGAUAAGAGCACUCCUCGGAACUUCAAGUCAAAGAAAGCCUAUAUAUUAUGGGAUGUACCAGACGAGGACACGACAUCGAGCACCUCAGAUGAAGAGGGGACAACCAAGCUAUGCUUAAUGACCAGAACAUAUGAUGCAUGUUGCUCAAAUUCAAAAGAGGUAAACAACGAGGUAUAUUCUGACACCUCAUAUACUUCAUCUGAUGAUUCUCCUCCUUAUGAGGAUUUGUAUAAUGCGUAUGUCGAAUUGCAUGAUGAACUAAAGAAGAUACCGAGGAUUAGUUCUGAUAGAAAAAGAGUAAUCCUUCUAAAUGAACAAAAAAUAAUCUCAUUAGAAAAAGAAUUAGAUGAACUAAAAUUGGAAAAUGAAACAUUAGAUCUGAUCUAUUCUUGUAAUGCAUACAAUUACUCUAAUGAUCAUUAUGUCAAUCAACUGUUUGUGAUUCUUGCGAUGAUUUGAAAAACGAAAACUUGAGACUCAAUGAAACCUCGCAAAACUCACAGAGAGUCAAAACAUGUUAGACAAUAUGCUUAGCAAACAGAAAUGUUGGUGACCAUACCGGGCUAGGAUAUAUUCCACCUUCACGUAGGAGAAGACCAUAUAGGAGACCUAUUAAUCGACUAGCGGUCAGAGUAUCCGCUUUUCGAAAUCAACAAAUAAUGCUGAAAUAACCCCAGAUUAAUCGUUAACAGAACACAAAUAAUCGAUUAACGCAAUCACUUUAAUCGAUUAAAACAGCUCAGAUUUUACAGACAGAUUCGUUUCUUGCACGACAAUUAACCGAGAUUGAAACGAAUAUACAGAGCUUACAAAAAUAUCAGAGUUAGUCCAGUAUAGUAUAGAAACAGAAUAUAGAAAUUAACACAACUAUACAAAGUAACCGAUUAAAGCAAUAAAGAGAGAAAGAGAGGGGGGGAAAUCCUGCAACACAAUUUUUAUCCUGGUUUGUUUGCGUGUCCACUUCCAAACUACAUCCAGGCCUCCCGGCUAAUCUGGGAGAUUUUUCUUCACUAUAAUUGAAAUAAUGUUUUAUAAGCAAUUCUUCCAAUUACAACACUUAGAUAUUCACUUGAAACUAAAGAACCUUAUUCCUUGGUUUGACUCCCUUCCUACCGCCCAAGAAAACCUUUCUUGCAGUGUAGCCCCAGCCAAGAAUCUAUUCUUCCUAUCAAGAACACUAAGCUAUCGAAGAUACNNNNNNNNNNNNNNNNNNNNNNNNNNNNNNNNNNNNNNNNNNNNNNNNNNNNNNNNNNNNNNNNNNNNNNNNNNNNNNNNNNNNNNNNNNNNNNNNNNNNAGAGGUAAAGAGAACGGCAUACAAGAUUUACCAUAUCAAUUAGCAUGAUAAGCAAUGUAAGUGCAAUAACUAGCUUAAUUUAUGCACCAUAAACAUCUCUUAUGAUCAAGAACCAUUCACACAACCAAAUAAGCUAUUUUGACAUAAUUAAGCACAAAACUAAUAACAUAGCAUAAAGAGUAAAAAUAUUCAGCAACCAUUACAAACCAUAAUAUGUCAAGCAGAGACAAAUAAAGAGGCACAAAUAAGUCUUGAAGCAGUAACAACAACUGAGUCCAUAAAGUGCAAUAACGAAGAAAUAAACCUAAGGGUAAGAUAUCCUAGGUCUAAAGUCUUCUAAACUAUGGUUGAGNNNNNNNNNNNNNNNNNNNNNNNNNNNNNNNNNNNNNNNNNNNNNNNNNNNNNNNNNNNNNNNNNNNNNNNNNNNNNNNNNNNNNNNNNNNNNNNNNNNNUUAGACUCUCACCAACCAGAUGAUCCUUAUCAGUAUACUCAAUAAUGAUGGUGUCAGAAACAUCGAUAUGCAAAUAAACCACAAUGCGUGAAAUGAAUAUAUUGUAGGGAAGCAGCUUUGACUGAGACAGAGACACACUGUUCAUAAUCUUCAAUAUUUCCUCAGGCCAAUUAAUCAUUAAAUUAUUCUUAACAACGUACAUGAAACGCAAAUCGUUCACAGUGGGUGUAACACCGCGAAUUUACGAUUUUCAAUUAUAAGAUUUUAUUAAUAUUUUUAUUAAUUAUAUAUUCGAAAAUGAAUUUCUGGGAAUUUUCGGUAAAGAAUUAGANNNNNNNNNNNNNNNNNNNNNNNNNNNNNNNNNNNNNNNNNNNNNNNNNNNNNNNNNNNNNNNNNNNNNNNNNNNNNNNNNNNNNNNNNNNNNNNNNNNNCUGAACCACUAUCGGGGCCGAAAUCCACUCGGUACGGCUCAAAAAGUGGUUUUUGAGUUCCGUAACUCGGAAUCGAAUUCUGAUUUCGCCGUUGGCUUCGUAAUCAUAUUUCGAGUCAAGAUAGACCAUGAGUUGGUCCAUAACUAUUUUCUAAAAUAUUUUCACUCGGAAUGCCGAAAUUUGAUGUUCCAACCGUAAAGUAAAAUCGGGCGAUCACUUUUGGCUACUUGAAUAUUGACCGACAAUACUCGAGUAUGGUUUUAAUCGCGCGCGUUUCUUAGAAGUCGUCGCGUCGCAUGAGUCACUUCACAAAAUCUAACCACUAAAUCUUAUAGAUUUCACUACCACCAAAUCCCCUAAAUCACUCACUUAACCCAUGAUUCACUCACCUUCUUAGAUUUACUAGAUUGCCUUGGGAAUUGGGUUUAGAAAUCAGAUUUCUCCCACCCCACAACUCUAUAAAUACCCAUGUNNNNNNNNNNNNNNNNNNNNNNNNNNNNNNNNNNNNNNNNNNNNNNNNNNNNNNNNNNNNNNNNNNNNNNNNNNNNNNNNNNNNNNNNNNNNNNNNNNNNGAGAACACAUCGUGACAUAGUGGUGUCCGAAUAUGACACCCGGAUCUCCUAAACCAUCUCAAAGGUUUUGGAGUUAACUUGGGUUUUAAGAAACCCAAUAUUUUUAUGUUUGGAUGCUUUUUGAAGAUAUAUGAUUGUUGAGGAAAUGUAUUGAAUAUUGUAUGUGAGAGAGAACACAUCGUGACAUAGUGGUGUCUGAAUAUGACACCCGCAUCUGCUAAACCAUCUCAAAGGUUUUGGAGUUAACUUCGAUUUUAAGAAACCAAAGAUUUUGUAUGUUUGAAUGUUUUGAAUAUAUAUAUGAUUGUUGAUGAAAUGUGUUGAAUAUUGUAUAUGAAUGUUGUUGGGAACUUUUCUGGGUGCAGGUGUUUGAAAAACAUUAUUUAAAUGUGUUUCGGUUGUCGAAAAUGGCAAAAAAAGGGCAAAAGUUGGUAUUCUGUCCAAGUCCAUGUCGCUUGGGCGAGAAACUCUCGCCUGGGCGAGCACAGUCUCGCUUGGGCAAGGACUGGGCGAGCACAGUCUCGCUUGGGCGAGGGGAAGUUUUGGUUCUGGAACUCCUUCGCCUGGGCGACAAAUCCUCGCUUGGGCAAGCAAGGGUCCCGCUUAGGCGAAAAAGCCCAGGAUUUCGAUGAAAAUUGGGAAUUCUCUCGCUUGGGCGAGAGAUUUCUCCCCCGGGCGAGCAAAAGCCCGCUUGGGCGAAAAAGAAAAAAAAACUCAGGAUUUUAAUGAGUUUUUGGAACCCUCUCGCUUGGGCGAGAAGAGACCUCGCUUGGGCGACAAAACCUUCACCUGGGCGAGGAAAGCUUCAGUUUAUUUGAGAUUUAAAGACGAAUUGUCGCUUGAGCGACUAGUUCCCGCUUGGGCAAGGGACGGUGUGAGAAGAUUGGAAUAAAAUGAUGUUGUGAAAAAUGUGAUGAACCCGGGUAGGGUGUGUUGUGAUAUAAAGGUUGUGGAAUAAGAUCAUGGCUUAGAUGUUAAGCAUGACUCCACAAAGGUAUGAAAGCAUUGUUUGUGUUUAUGCCUUGUUGGGCAAGUAUCCGACUUGAGGUCGUGAACAGGGGGGUACCCUAGUAAGGAUACAUGAUAUCACCGAACAACGGUCGACCGACCGUAAGAGGCUUGGUCAUGUGACCGUCCAGGAUUAUUCGGUGAUGGGUUGUUGUGAUUAAGAUGUUACCUUGAGCAUGUACGGUUGACUUACUAUCAGGUCCCACAAGAAGCAUUCCUUGUCGGGAGAUGGCUUAAGGAUGGGCCGAUCAUGUGUUUGAUUAAUACAUUUGCAUUUGAUUCUGAUUAAGAAUGCNNNNNNNNNNNNNNNNNNNNNNNNNNNNNNNNNNNNNNNNNNNNNNNNNNNNNNNNNNNNNNNNNNNNNNNNNNNNNNNNNNNNNNNNNNNNNNNNNNNNUGUGAUGCUCUUCUUCUUCCGGUCCAAAUCUUCAUGCAUCGUCAAGCGACCCAGUUCCAUUUCGUGCUCUUGAAGCUUUCCAAAUAAUGUAGCUAGAGGCAUAGAGUCUAAGUCUUUGGAUUCCACAAUUGCAGUCACUUUUGUUUGCCAUUUCCUGUCAAGACAACGUAAAACUUUAUUAGUUAAUUCUCCUCUAGCAAAAGAUUUAUCUAGAGCAACUAAAUGAUUCACAAUAUGAGUAAAUCGUUGUUGCACAUAACUGAUUGAUUCGCUACGUAACAUGCGAAAUAACUCAUACUCGUGGGUCAGUGCAUUUAAUCUAGCGCACUUGACUUCAAUGGUGCCUUCGUGAGUCACUUGUAAAGUGUCCCACAUCUCUUUUGCAUUUUGGCAUUGCGAGACCCUAAAGAACUCAUCGUAGGAUAGGGCCGAUGUGAUGAUAUUUUUGGCGCGUAGGUUAUGUUGGACCCUCUUGCACUCAUCAUCGAUCCAUAGAAUUUUAGGCUUGUCUUUAGGUUCAUUGUCCACUAAGUGCUGUGGAACGAAAGGGUCGUUGACUACGGAUUCCCAAAUAUCCGAGUCAAUGGCUUCUAUAAAAAUUUGCAUGCGGAAUUUCCAGUAGGCAUACCCUUCACUACUGAAUAUAGGUGGUCGGUUAAUGGAUGAACCAUCACCACCAAACGGGUNNNNNNNNNNNNNNNNNNNNNNNNNNNNNNNNNNNNNNNNNNNNNNNNNNNNNNNNNNNNNNNNNNNNNNNNNNNNNNNNNNNNNNNNNNNNNNNNNNNNCUAGCUCUGAUACCACUUGUUAGGUAUCAGUGGCUAAAAUACACCUAGAAGGGGGGUUGAAUAGGUGUAGCGGUCAGAGUAUCCGCUUUUCAAAAACAACAAAUAAUGCUGAAAUAACCCCAGAUUAAUCGAUUAACAGAACACAAAUAAUCGAUUAACGCAAUUACUUUAAUCGAUUAAAACAGCUCAGAUUUUACAGACAGAUUCGGUUUCCUGCACGAAAAUUAACCGAGAUUGAUACGAAUAUACAGAGCUUACAAAAAUAUCAGAGUUACACCAGUAUAGUAUAGAAACAGAAUAUAGCAAUUAACACAACUAUACAAAGUAACCGAUUAAAGCAAUAAAGAGAGAAAGAGAGAAAAAAAAAUCCUGCAACACGAUUUUUAUCCUUGUUCGUCUGCGUGUCCACUUGCAAACUACAUCCAGACCUCCCGGCUGAUCUGGGUGAUUUUUUUUCACUAUAAUUGAAAUAAUGUUUUACAAGCAAUUNNNNNNNNNNNNNNNNNNNNNNNNNNNNNNNNNNNNNNNNNNNNNNNNNNNNNNNNNNNNNNNNNNNNNNNNNNNNNNNNNNNNNNNNNNNNNNNNNNNNCAAAACUAAACACAUAGUGAGAAAGCUUUCCAAAGGGCUAUCUUGAUAUGCGCACUUUCAGAUACUUGGCACCAGAACGAUUGGCAACUCGAAUCAGGAAGUGAGCGAAAAUGUGUUAUAUGUUGAAGGCCUGGAACAUAAUCUCUUGAGUAUCAGCCAACUAUGCGAUAAAGGUAACCGUGUAUCUUUUGAUUUUGAGUGUUGUAUUAUUCAUGACAAUAUAUCUAAUAAAGUUAAGUUUGUCGGAUAUCGUAUAAAUAACAUCUAUAUGGUUAAUCUGGAGGAUGUCACAACUCUAUUUUAAAAAUGUUUUAUAUCUAAAAAGGAUGACAUAUGGCUUUGGCAUAGGCACGUUGCUCAUAUUCAUGUAAAGCAUCUAGAUAGAUUGUUUAAAAAUAAUAUGGUUGAUGGACUACCAAAACUUGAUUUUAAAACUCAAGAAACUUGUGGUACUUGUCAAAAAUGUAAACAAGUUAAAAACUCUUUUGCUAAAAAGAAUGUGAUAUUCACAACAAGACCCUUGGAGCUUCUCCAUAUGGACUUGUUUGGACCAUCACUGGUUAUGAGUUUUGGUGGUAGCUUUUAUGCUUUAGUAAUCAAUGAUGAUUUCUCAAGAUUCACAUGGACAUUAUUUCUAUCGUCCAAGAUUGAUGCUUUCAAGUCUUUCAGAAACCUUGCCAAGCAAAUCCAAAAUCAAUUUAAUCAUAAGAUAGUAUAUAUUCGAUCCGAUCAUGGUGGCGAAUUUGAAACCAUCAAUUUGAUAAAUUUUGUGAUAAAUAUGAUAUUAUACAUCAAUUCUUAGCCCCUUGUACCCCUCAACAAAAUGGAGUAGUUAAGAGGAAGAAUCGAGUCUUAGAGGAGCUUCCUAGAACCAUGCUAAACGAAAGCAAGGUUCCUAAAUAUUUUUGGGCUGAUGCCGUGCAUACAGCUUGCUAUGUGAUUAAUCGUAUACUCCUGAGGCCUACUUUCUCAAAAACUCCUUAUGAACUUUUAAAAGGCCAAAAACCUAAUAUUUCUCAUUUACAUACUUUUGGGUGUAAAUGCUUCAUAUUAAAUAAUGGAAAAAGAGCUUUAAGUAAAUUUGGUUCAAAAGUUGAUGAGGGUAUAUUUUUGGGGUAUUCAUUGCAUAGUAUAGCUUAUCGAGUCUUUAAUAAAUAUUCAAUGCAAGUAGAAGAGUUUGUGCAUGUCCAUUUUGAUGAAUCCUCUCCAAAAGCGAAGAUGAAGGUAUUUUCUGAUGAUGUUGCAGGUGCUUUGGAAGAAGCAUACUCUAAGGAUAUGGACCAGGACAAAGAAGCAGAAGAAGAGCAAAUUGGCCAAGAUGAGCAUCAGGACUUGCCAAUCGUGUGGAAGACCAAGAAGGAUCAUCAACUCGACAAAGUGAUAUGUGAUAUAACUACGGGGGUGGUAACUCGUAGCUCUUUAUGAAAUUUUUGUAACUUCGUCGCGUUUGUAUCUCAAAUCGAGCCUAAGACCGUCGAUGAGGCCAUUGAGGAUGUGCACUGGGAUAUAGCUAUGCAAGAAGAGCUAAACCAGUUCGAGCGUAAUAAUAUAUGUGACUUGGUCCCUAAGCCUAAAGAGCAUCCAGUGAUUGGUACUAGAUGGGUCUUUCGUAAUAAAUUAGAAGAAUCUGGCUUGAUAAUCAUAAAUAAAGUUGUCUUAGUGGCCAAAGGCUACAACCAGGAGGAGGGCAUCGAUUAUGAUGAGACCUACGCUCAUGUAGACAAAUUAGAGGGCAUUAGGAUGUUUUUAUCCUUUGCAUCAAUUAUGAACUUCAAGCUCUUUGAAAUGGAUGUCAAGAGCGCCUUCUUGAAUGGCUACAUUCAAGAUGAGGUAUAUGUAGAUCAACCUUCCGGCUUUGAAAAUUUUAAAUAUCUGAACCAUGUAUAUAAGCUCAAAAAGGCCCUUUAUGGCCUGAAACAAGCUCCCAAAGCUUGGUAUGAUAGAUUGAGCUCUUUCUUCUUGGUAAAAAGGUUUGUGAUGGGUAUGGUUGAUACUACCCUCUUUAUUGAGCUUGGUAUGAUAGGUUGAGCUCUUUCCUCUUGGAAAAAGGGUUUGUGAGGGGUAUAGUUGAUACUACCCUCUUUAUUCGUAUAUUAGAUAAUCAUGUGCUAGUAGUUCAAAUAUAUGUUGAUGAUAUAAUCUUCGGAUCUACUAAUGACAUUUUUUGUAAAUAAUUUUCUAAGAUGAUGUAGGGUGAAUUUGAGAUGUCGAUGAUGGAUGAGAUGACCUUCUUUCUUGGGCUUCAAAUCAAACAAAUGGAAAGUGGCAUCUACAUUCAUCUAUCAAAAUAUUGCAAGGAGUUACUGAAGAAGUUCGACAUGGAAANNNNNNNNNNNNNNNNNNNNNNNNNNNNNNNNNNNNNNNNNNNNNNNNNNNNNNNNNNNNNNNNNNNNNNNNNNNNNNNNNNNNNNNNNNNNNNNNNNNNAUCCUAGGGAUGCCUCAUUAUCCUUGGUAGGGUAUUCUGAUUCUGAUUUUGCGGGAUGUAAGUUGGAUCGGAAGAGCACUAGUGGGACUUGUCACUUUUUAGGCAGUUCCUUAGUUGCAUGGCGCAUCAAAAAGCAAGUGUGUGUUGCUUUGUCCACCGCUGAAGCGGAAUACAUUGUUGCUGGUGUGUGUUGUGCUCAAAUCCUUUGGAGGAAGAAGCCAAUUAAGGACUUCGGACUUAACCUAGAAAAGAUUCCUAUAAAAUGCGAUAAUAAAAGUGCCAUAAACCUAUCCCAAAAUCCCGUUUUGCAUUCUAGAACCAAGCAUAUUGAAAUUAUACAUCAUUUCUUGUGUGACCAUCUACAAAAAGGCGAUUGUGUGCUUGAAUUUGUUGAAGCUUCUAAGCAAUUGGCUGAUAUUUUCACCAAGCCUCUCUCACGAGAUACUUUUUAUGUUCUUCAAAGAGAACUUGGAAUUCUUGAAGAAAAUCAUCUUGAUUAAAAUCGUCUAAAAAUGUUAUUAUAUGCUUCGCAUGAUUAAUGUCUUAUAUGCUUCAAAAUGUAUAUUUGUUGUGAAUGCAUUAUAUUCCUGUUAUGACUCGUGAUCUUCUAUGAUAAGCUAAAUAUGUAUAUAUGUUUGAGUAAAAAUUGCUUGAUAAUUGUUAGAAAUCUAUGCAUGCUUUUAAAACCCAAAAACCUCAUGAUUCUAUAAAUCUGAUUCUAGUUAAUCGAUAAAAUAUAGUUCUUAAUCGAUUAAAAUGAGUUCUAGUAGCAAACAUUUCAUUUUUCACAGAAUUUUGAGUUUCCGCAAGGUAUGCAAGCUCAGGGAGCUGUAAUGGCUUUGGAAUUAACGGGUAAUUUGUACCCCGCUUUGAUUAGGGAAUUUUAUGCUAACUUCUGUUAUACGGAUGGUAGAUAUUGGUCUAUGAUUUCGAGAAAUCUAUUUGAGAUGGAUAGUGAUAUUUUUAUGAAUGUGGGGGGCUUAUCCACUAUUGGUGUUAGCCUAGGUGAUUGUGAAUGGCUUAAGGAUUUCGAUGUUGUUGAGGUAUAUAAAUCAUGUCUGAGAGGUCCCCAUAUGUAUGUCCAGGGAUAACUGACUAAAGCUGGUUCAUUAUCGAUAGAGAAUAGAUUGCUUCAUUAUUUGAUUGUAUAUAUUUUAGUUUAGAGAAACACUAAUCAUGCACAACCAAAUGUUAAUGAUAUGAAAUUUAUGUAUGUUGUGAAGGAGAUUAUAAUGGUCAAUUGGCUUGAGGAAAUACUGAAGAUCACGUAUAAUGUCUCUACAUCGCAAUCCAAGUUGUUGUCCUACAGUAUCUUCAUAUCGAGAAUUAUUGACUAUCUCCAUAUUGACGUAUCUAACACCAUCGUCAUAGAGAUUUCUGAUAAAGAUCACCUUGUUUGUGAAAGCCUUAUCCACAAGAUGGGUAUCUACAAGUAUGGAAGUACUUGGAAAUACCAGGAGGCUUACACUACCGUGGAUUUGGAGCUAUCUGAUAAUGAGGAUUCAGCUGGAAUAGAUCAGCCUAAUGUAGAAACUAAGGGGCAGCCAUCUAGAACUGCGCCACAGGAACCAUCCUUUGGAUUAGCUCAGUUGGAUGCCAUGGAGCAAAGGCUGAACAAUAGAAUGGACUUACAUUUUUAGUCUUUAAAGGACUCCUACCGUACUGAUUUGGAACAAUUUGAGGAGCAUCAGGUUGCCUACAUCGAUAACCACUGUCAGGCUAUGAGGAGCUUUGUCCAGAAAACUACUAAGGCACAAAAUGAGAGGUUUUGUGCAGAAUUUGAGAAGUUGAGAUUUCUCAUCCGGGGUGAUAGUAGUUUGACCGUAGCUGAUGAUAGAGAUCCUCCUCCGCAUACCUAGAUUAGAAGUCCUUAGACCUUAGAUUGCCUUAGGUUUUGUCCUUCUAUAUGGCUAAUUUUCAGGAUUUUAUGCUGCUUCCUAAUUUCGAGACAUAUUUUCUCUAUGCUUUUUGGGUUGGAACUCUAACUAUCUACUUUUGCUGCACUAUUGUGACUUGAUAUGCAUGCCAUGUGAACUUAAAUGGUUACUAUUUUGGUUUUAAUUUGCUUACAUAACAUUCCUAUCUAUGUCAAAUAUAGCAUGAUUACAUGUUUAAUGGUUCUUGAUCAUGUUUGGUUAUAUGUAUCUCUUAUGCUUGAUUGAGCCUACUUUUUGAAUGCUAUAAUAUAAAUGUUUGAUCAUUCCAUGCUUGAUUAGUUCAUGUAUAACCUUCCAUGCCAUUAAAUCUGUCAUAUUGUUGUAUUUCGUAGUUUUAAUCGAUUAACCUGCUAUCUUAAUCGAUUAAAUGCUGAUCAAUGUGUGCACGUGUUCAAUUUUUUCAUCAACUGGUUAAUUAAUUACAUUCCCAAUAUUAAUUGAUUAAUUAUAGAUUGAGUUCACUUCGUAUCUCUUCUUUCUUUGAACCAAAACUUCAUUUAGUUUAUCUUUUUUAUAAUGUCAAAAGGGGGAGAGAAGUUGUUUUGUUGUUUGAUGUGUGCAGGUUAUAAAAUAAAUUCAGCUUCCAUUAUCUAGCUAUGCGCUUUAACUUUGAAAUCAACAACCAUGCAUUUUGUGACCAUCUUCAAGCUAUGCAUCAAAAUAAAAUUUGGUGUUGAGUUUGUCAUCAUCAAAAAGGGGGAGAUUGAAAGUGCAAAGUGUCAAGAUAGCACUUAGCUUGCCUAUGUUUUGAUGAAGACAAAGGAAUUAGUGAAAGCUUAAAGAUAACUCAACAAAUCAACAUGCCAAAGAUUCAAGAGCUUCAUGUCUAAACUAGAGUCUUAGAUAUGUGUCUUAGUUAUUGAGUCUAGGUUAGGUAAACCUAGAUGCAAAUCUCACAAGUUCUAAAAACUAUCAUAUCAUUUACAUGAGACAUGCCAUCUAGCUUAUUAUAUGUUCAUGCAUUAAUCAUACAUGUUAUUUGUGCAUCUUAGGCAUAACAUAAUGAUAAAACAUGUAUAGUUGAUAAGCAUUACAUAUAGGUAGUUUACCAUUUAAUAUCUUAACUGAAAAUAUGUUAGUUAAUCGAUUAAGUAAGGCUUUAAUCGAUUAACGUGAAAAUAGUUUAAAUCAGUUUCAACAGAUAACUGAAAAACAGAAUUCAGUUAUUCUAAACAGCCCGUUAAUCAAUUAACAGGGCACUUAAUCGAUUAACUGGGCACAAAACAGCUUUUCUAUAUAAACUAUGUUUUUACACCCUACUUCAUACAUUCAUUUUUAGAAUUUCUAAGUAGCAUAUUUUCGUGUUCUUUGUAUGUCAUAUAGGCAGAGAUAAUUGCAUGUGAGAUUAGUGAGAGAUAUUAUCAUGCUUAGGGUUUAAAAUGCCAUCCAAUGCAUGUGAUUAAAUGUGUUCAUCAUUCUAUCUUUCUUGCGUGAUUCUUCAAUUCUUUUAGAGAUUUCUUAGGGUAGAAAUUACUUGUUCUUCAUGAUUAUGAUCUUAUACAUAUUCAUAAUAAUUUGUGAGAUUUGUAUAGGGUUUAUAGCUUGUUGUUCUUAAUUGUAAUAUUUGAACUAUUUUGUGUUUAACAUUACUCUGAUUUUGUUGUGAUUUUUUUAUAACAAGGAAAGUCGUCUCUUGAUAUCAUACCACCGACGAGAUACAAAGAGUCUUCACCAAGACCUGAAGGUCUUGAGUUUGGAACAUACUCUUGGUUGGGGCUGGAUCGUAGGAAAGGUUUUCCUAGGUGAUUGGGUAAGGUCAAACCAAGGUAGAGGUUCUGGAAAUUCAAGAAGAUAGCGUUCAAGGUCUUGUAAUUGGAAGUGUGUAUAUAAGAUACAUUGGCUUCAAUUUUUAGUGAAGAAAAUCUCCUAGAUCUAAAAUCUCCCAGAUCAGAAGGGAGGACUGGAUGUAGUUUUUAUUGGACCGCAAAACGAACCAGUAUAAAAACCUUGUUGCAGGUUGUUUCUUACCCUUAUCUCUUUACUAUUUUAAAGUGAUUUUAAUUGCCUAUUGUAGCUGAUAUUUUGAAUAUAGUAACUCUGUCAUAUAAAGAUCAUUUAUAUUCAAAUAUAUAUGCUAUAUCAUUUCUUUAUAAUCUGUAAGUGGUUGUGUAAUUGAGCCAUUCAACAAUUGUUAAUUUUGUGCGACUUAAUCGAUUAAGGCAGUCUUUAAUCGAUUAACUGGGUGAUUUUCCAGAAUAGAGCUUUGGUGCAAAUAGCAGCAAGUGGGAACCGCGACACCUAUUCAACCCCCCUUCUAGGUGUAUUCUGUCACUGAUACCUAACAUAAUACCUAACAUCGCCUUGUUUUGUGC